rnacentral:rRNA from 1 species
CACGUAGGGCGCAAGCGUUGUCCGGAAUUAUUGGGCGUAAAGAGCUCGUAGGUGGUUUGCUGCGUCCGCUGUGAAAACCCAAGGCUUAACCUUGGGCUUGCAGUGGAUACGGGCAGACUAGAGGUAGGUAGGGGAGAAUGGAAUUCCCGGUGUAGCGGUGAAAUGCGCAGAUAUCGGGAGGAACACCGGUGGCGAAGGCGGUUCUCUGGGCCUUACCUGACACUGAGGAGCGAAAGCAUGGGGAGCGAACAGG